AGGAGAAAAAAGGCUUUGUUCUGUCUGAUUCUUUUGUUCCUAAUUUUAUGAUUAUUGUUCGAUUCACAGUGGUCCUCACAUUUCCUCACAUGUUUCUGAACGAAUUAUAAGAACACGAUAAACCGUAUUUACAGUCUUCUCUCUUAAAACUAUGAAAAUUGUCUUCUGCCAUUUAAGAUCCAGUUUCUGGAUUAAUUGCAUGAACUCAAAGGAGUUGCAAGUUGGUGAAACCUAGAGAAUCGGCUUCUGAAAGCUUCAUUUCUAAAGCAUCAAGAAUAUUAUUCUCAUUGGAAAAUUGCUGCUGAUACCCAUCAAGUGCCUGCUUUCUUCUCCAACCAGAGCAUAAAGAGUCCAUGUUUUUACCCUCUGAGCGUGCCUGUCAUGAGAUGUUCUUCACAAAUCCUUAGAGACCAUAUUCUUCAGCUCCUGACCCAAUCUUGGUAAAUAUAUUCUAAAGUGCUUUAUUGAUGUCUAUUAUUCUUUAUACUUUUACUUAGUUGGGAGAAAGGGUAAGGUUCAUUUAAUGUUUCUAAUAAUCUAUGUAAGUUCCAAACAU
rnacentral:lncRNA from 12 species